rnacentral:lncRNA from 10 species
UCUUGGAAGUAUUGUUUUAAUAAAUAGAUCAGGAAGCUGGGUAGAAGAAAUGGCACAUACAGAGAUGCAGAAGGAAAAAGCUGAGCAAUGCGCUUGAGCAACUAGCUGCCAUGCACGUACAGAAGGGCUGACCCCAAACCACCUCUCCAGCACCGUGUCUCCUAGUUGUCUUGUGACCAUUUCUUUGCUCCAUAAACCUCCUUCUCCUCCAUACUUUAUUAUUCAAACAAUGCUUUCACUCAUAUCUGUGAGCCAGGCUUGAGAUCACGGGCCCUUUCCCUCCCUUGACACCUGCUCAGAACAGAGCCUGAAUAAUAUACUCCUGAAGUUCUUCUUGGUAUCCAUCUCAUCCUCCUAAAACUUUCCUUCAAAAAACACUGAAAGUUCUCAUUACCACCAGUCUUGUUUGAGAUCCAUCUUUUCUCGCUGGAUGUAUGAAAGGCCUUCUUAAUUUCUCUUCUUACAUCCAAAGUUUCCCCAUAAGGCAUGCUCAGUACAACUCCCAGACCAGUUCUCUUGAAGCAGAGCCCUGGUACUGACAUGUUAACAUUCAAGAAUAUUUAAUGUUUCCCAAUUAUAUGAGGAUUAAAGUCAAGGCUGUGAGUCCAGCAGAAGCUCAUGGAAAUAAAAAAUGGAAGUUAAGGCAAGCAUGCAGGCUGGCUAAUCUGGGCUAAGCUAGUUUAUGAACUUACCAGUUAACUGAUGGAUCGCCAGAGGACCAGGUGUUUUCAGAGGGCCUUGUAGACACGGUGAAGGAGGCGUCUUUGAUCAUCAGUUCAGCCCAGUUUACUGGGCUAGGAUAAGGGGUUCCAAGAUCAAAAGCAUAUGUGUGCAAAAUAUCUUGAGGUCCAAGCUCAGGACUGGCACAGCAUCACUUCUGCAUUUUGUUCUCCAAAGCAAGUCCCAAAGGCAGCCAGACUCAAUGGUUGGAGAAAUCAACUCCACCGCUUGACAGGAGGAGCAACAAAUAUUUCUGGCCAGGCUUUGCAAUGUACCACAGAGCUGAAGAACAGAUAUGGAAGUCAUCAAAAUAUCAAUAACAGGUGUAGGUACAAUUUCCCAGGGAAAUGAGUAGGGUGAGA